CAACUUUCAGCAACGGAUCUCUUGGNUCUCCCANCGAUGAAGAACGCAGCGAAAUGCGAUANGUAAUGUGAUUGCAGAAUUCAGUGAAUCAUCGAAUCUUUGAACGCACCUUGCGCCCUCUGGUAUUCCGGAGGGCAUGCCUGUUUGAGUGUCAUU
rnacentral:rRNA from 1 species